GAUAAGAAAUGAAACAGAGAACUCAGUUCUAAUAUUCUCCCCACAUUUUGUUUUGUCUCUUCUUUAAUUAAUGUGAUAUACUGAUCAUCAGUUUGGUAUGCGGUAAUAUAUGAAUCCUGGUUCUGAUGGUACAUGAAGGAACAUGACUAGUAUCCAUUAAACAUGGAGCACAUCCUUAUAACAACUUACUCAUUCGGUAUGGUGGUGGUGUUGAGGGCGGGGACGGACACGGUGGUGCUAUUUGGGGAGGCGGUGGAUGCGGUGGUGCUAUUGAAGGUGGUAAAGGCGCUGGUUUCAUUCUCAAUUCUUCUACACAUCCUCUCAAGUCUACACGGAAUGGAUUAGUAUAAUCAAAACCAUCAACCCUGUAUUGUUCAAUAUAUGUGCUUCUUUCAUAAUCGAUUGACAAUUAGUCACAUUUGAUCAUUCUUUUAUGAUGACAGUCACAUUUUAAGCAUCAGUAUAAUUUCCUUAUUAUCAA